AGAGUUUGAUCCUGGCUCAGGACGAACGCUGGCGGCGUGCCUAAUACAUGCAAGUAGAACGCUGAAAUCUGGUGCUUGCACCGGAUGGAUGUGUUGCGAACGGGUGAGUAACGCGUAGGUAACCUACCUCAUAGCGGGGGAUAACUAUUGGAAACGAUAGCUAAUACCGCAUAACAGUCUUUAACUCAUGUUAGAGUCUUGAAAGGGGCAAUUGCUUCACUAUGAGAUGGACCUGCGUUGUAUUAGCUAGUUGGUGAGGUAACGGCUCACCAAGGCGACGAUACAUAGCCGACCUGAGAGGGUGAUCGGCCACACUGGGACUGAGACACGGCCCAGACUCCUACGGGAGGCAGCAGUAGGGAAUCUUCGGCAAUGGGGGCAACCCUGACCGAGCAACGCCGCGUGAGUGAAGAAGGUUUUCGGAUCGUAAAGCUCUGUUGUAAGAGAAGAACGUGUGUGAGAGUGGAAAGUUCACACAGUGACGGUAUCUUACCAGAAAGGGACGGCUAACUACGUGCCAGCAGCCGCGGUAAUACGUAGGUCCCGAGCGUUGUCCGGAUUUAUUGGGCGUAAAGCGAGCGCAGGCGGUUUGAUAAGUCUGAAGUUAAAGGCUGUGGCUCAACCAUAGUACGCUUUGGAAACUGUCAAACUUGAGUGCAGAAGGGGAGAGUGGAAUUCCAUGUGUAGCGGUGAAAUGCGUAGAUAUAUGGAGGAACACCGGUGGCGAAAGCGGCUCUCUGGUCUGUAACUGACGCUGAGGCUCGAAAGCGUGGGUAGCGAACAGGAUUAGAUACCCUGGUAGUCCACGCCGUAAACGAUGAGUGCUAGGUGUUAGGCCCUUUCCGGGGCUUAGUGCCGCAGCUAACGCAUUAAGCACUCCGCCUGGGGA
rnacentral:rRNA from 1 species